rnacentral:rRNA from 1 species
UUUAUUUGAGAGUUUGAUCCUGGCUCAGGAUGAACGCUGGCGGCGUGCUUAACACAUGCAAGUCGAACGGAGCUAUUAUAUUGGAUUUCUUCGGAG